UUGCUCACUUUAGCAGCACAUAUACUAAAAUUGGAAUGAUACAGAGAAGAUUAGCAUGGCCGCUGUGCAAGGGUGACAUGCAAGUUUGUGAAGCAUUCCAUAUAUUU
rnacentral:snRNA from 1 species